GCAUCCAUGGAGCAGUAGUUUAGCUCACUCCCCUCCCAUGUAUUCACGCAAGGAAGGGAGAGACCCGGGUGCAAAUCCCGGUGGGUGCA